rnacentral:rRNA from 1 species
CGUGCCAGCAGCCGCGGUAAUACGGAGGAUCCAAGCGUUAUCCGGAAUCAUUGGGUUUAAAGGGUCCGUAGGCGGGUUCGUAAGUCAGUGGUGAAAGCCCAUCGCUCAACGAUGGAACGGCCAUUGAUACUGCGAGUCUUGAAUUAUUUGGAAGUAACUAGAAUAUGUAGUGUAGCGGUGAAAUGCUUAGAGAUUACAUGGAAUACCAAUUGCGAAGGCAGGUUACUACAAAUGGAUUGACGCUGAUGGACGAAAGCGUGGGUAGCGAACAGGAUUAGAUACCCUGGUAGUCCACGCCGUAAACGACGGAUACUAGCUGUUCGGAGCAAUCUGAGUGGCUAAGCGAAAGUGAUAAGUAUCCCACCUGGGGAGUACGUUCGCAAGAAUGAAACUCAAAGGAAUUGACGGGGGCCCGCACAAGCGGUGGAGCAUGUGGUUUAAUUCGAUGAU